UCAGACGAACGUUAGUCGGCGUGCCUAACACAUGCAAGUCGUACGAGAAAGGGGCUUCGGCCCCGGUAAAGUGGCGCACGGGUGAGUAACACGUGGGUAAUCUUCCCUUGAGCGGUGGAUAACAUUCCGAAAGGAGUGCUAAUACAGCAUAAGACCACGACCUCGAAAGGGGUUGAGGUAAAAGACGGCCUCUAUAUAUAAGCUGUCACUUGGGGAUGAGCCCGCGGCCCAUCAGCUAGUUGGUAGGGUAAUGGCCUACCAAGGCGAAGACGGGUAGCUGGUCUGAGAGGAUGAUCAGCCACACUGGAACUGAGACACGGUCCAGACUCCUACGGGAGGCAGCAGUGGGGAAUCUUGCGCAAUGGACGAAAGUCUGACGCAGCGACGCCGCGUGGGUGAUGAAGGCCUUCGGGUUGUAAAGCCCUGUGGGGAGAGACGAAUAAGUGUAGCCUAAUACGUUACAUGAUGACGGUAUCUCCUUAGCAAGCACCGGCUAACUCUGUG
rnacentral:rRNA from 1 species